GCUGGACGUGGUGGCCCACGCCUGUAAUCCCAGUUGCUCGGGAGGCUGAGACAGGAGGAUCAGCAGCUCAAAGCCAGCCUCAUCAAUGAUGAGGCCCUGAGCAACUCAGUGAGACCCUGUCUCUA
rnacentral:sRNA from 1 species